rnacentral:tRNA from 1 species
AGGGGCAUAGUUUAAUGGUAGAACAGCAGUCUCCAAAACUGUUGGUGUGGGUUCAACUCCUGCUGCCCCUGCCA